UACAUCCGUAUCCUGGACAAUGAGUGGAAUGUGUACAGGCGCUACACCGAGUUCAGGGAGCUCCACAACCACCUGAGGACCCAGUUUCCACAGGUGGACGCCUUCAACUUUCCACCCAAGAAAGCCAUAGGGAACAAGGAUGCCAAGUUUGUGGAGGAGAGGAGGAAGCAGCUGCAGGGCUACCUUCGCAUGGUGAUGAACAAACUGAUCCAGACACUGCCGGAGUUCGCAGCCCGCCCCACCAAAGAGACCCUGCUGUCUCUGCUGCCUUUCUGUCUAGACACUCCCCAGGCCAAUGACAGCGGAGCAAAGACGCCCCGGUCCAAAACUUCAUCCCGCUUCCCCAGACUGGGCCGCAGCCGCAACCAGGAAGCCAGACCUGAACCCCAGAGCGGCGACCUUUAACCCCCCAGAGCCUAUAAACUAAUACUCUCGCUGUAUAGGCUGAAGACAACCAUGUUCCCAUGUCCACCCUGGACUGUGACACACGGGCUCACACUGUGUGAGGACAUAAAGGGCGUCAAACGGACCUUCAAAGCCUUACAGAUAAAAGGCCUCAGUCGAGGAGGGGAGAUGGAUGCAUUCACAUAGCAGGCCUCUCUAGGAGAUAUGUAAAUGUUGCUGUGCAUCACCUGGCUGAGAGAAGGAUAAAUGACUCCCCCGAGGCUGCCUAUCGAUGGACCCAAUCAUACAGCACCUCUUACCUCACUGAGAGACAAAAAGACUCUCUGUUAACUGCACAUGAACUCGCCAGGACUGCUCUCUCUAAUCUCAAACACAGUGAGAUGAUGGAGAUUUUUUUUUUUUUUUACUCUGCUCAGUUUUGUAGUGAAAGUGUAUCAUGGUCACAGUGCCUACAGUGUUUUGUAGCUGCUUUCCUGCUCUGGGUGAAGAGGGGUAUAUUAAAGUAAUAUCUUGGGGAAUGAAGGUUGUUUUUCAGCUAAUGUGUCAGCAUUAUGGUGCCAUUACAUUUAAGACGACGAUGAUUCACUAUCUCUGGCAACGGGCAUUCCUUUUUCCUACUUCUGUUAUUUUAUUAUGGCUAUUACAGAUAAUCUGCAGAAAGUGUUACAUAUCUCAGUGUCACCAGGGAUGCAGUAAUUUUCAAAGACAUCUUCGGGUUCCACAUAAUGAUCAUAUUAAAGGAUUAGAGUUAAGCACCACUGAUGAACCAAAAUCUCUUUGGGACUGCACAAAAAUCAUUGGAGUGGGGAAGGAGGUUUGAAUCUUAUAUUUUACUUUUUGAAAAAGCAAGACACCCCCCCCCUUAGCAUUUUUAGUACUUUCUUUGUACCCCUGCUAUUGGCUUGGAGAAAAAACUAAUUGCAUCAACCUUACUAACUAAAAGAGGCAAAGUAUAGAGAUGCUAACUUGGAAUUGUUUUUGUUACUGAUAGCCGACCCUCUUUAACUGAUCAUUAACCGUUUUCAACUUAUCAUGACACUACUGCAGGAGUGCGAGCUCCACAUAGGGGAUACUGAAAGUCCACCGGCCCCGCACACAUAGUGACAGAGCUAACUGUUAGCAUCACAUGGCUAACAUUACCUGAUGGAUUUAACGACAGAGUCAAGGCCGUUUUGGUGUCAGUGUGAGUUUGUUGGGACUGUUUAACAGCUUGGUUUCAGAUGUUAGCUGUGUUAGAUAAUGCUAACCUGGCAGACGUUGAACUGACCGUUCUGUGUAACAGAAAGUUUGCUGAAAGUGUGCGGACUUUCUUCUUCUUUUCUACCACAGAAAAGAUUAGUACCCAACAAAGGUCUCUUAUACUGUAUAGGUGUCCAUGUCUGCCACUUGGUUAUUGGCUUAUUAAAGGGUGCUGUGGUCGUCAUUGAACUACUCUGGCCUGGGCAGCGGCAGACUUUGAUGUCUUGUUAUCAUCCCCGGUAGCACUAGUCUUAUAUUUUUAACUGUUUAACCUAAAGUAUUAAGGGGUCGAAAUUCAUUUUUCGGUAAAGGGUUAAACAGUUAAUUAUUAACAUCUCUAACUUAAACCUUGAAAGGGUUGAAAAAAAUAGGUAUAUAUUAAUAGAAUAAUAAUAGUCACAAUAGCCACUAAUGCAUACAAGUCCCAGCCACAGCCUAAGAGAUGCUAAAUAAAAGGCUAAACUUGAAUUAUAUUGUAGGCCAACAUAAUUUGACACUGCAGAUUAAAUCAAUGGCGGACAAUAGCAGUUGGUAGAGAUAACAUUUAAUCACCAAUAUCAAUAAAAAUCCACAAGUAUUUGUGUUUUUAUUCAUUCAUUCAUUAUCUGUAACCCCUCACCUGUUUUAAGUCGCGAGGGGACUGGAGUCCUAAAUCUUAAAAAUAAGUGACAAGAGCAUUGUUGUCUUUUGCAUAUGGGGAAGCACACAUUUAUAACCCACUUUGUAAACUAAAGCCAUCACUUUUUUGACCUCUCCUCACUCCCUAAUAAUUUUUGGACGGUCCCUUAAUGUGAAAGUUCAUAAAUAAGCAUCAAUUCUUGCAGUCGUAUUCAAAAAGUAUUCCUUUCCACAUGUCUAGGAUCAAUUUUGAACACCUGCUGUGAUGUGUAUGAUAAAUUUGUGUCGUAAAUAUUUGUCAGCAGAAAUUAAGGGAAACACUGUGUUACCAUUUUAAUGGAUGGGUAAGCUGUGUUUUAGUUGGUUUCCCUUUAACCCCAUUACACUUAUACGCAACAACUGAGGGUCUUCAUCAAAGAAAAGGCUAUACUGAAAAAUUUGAUUGUUUAACUAAUGUGUCUUAGCAGGAUUUAAUGCAGCCUUAUGUUGCAAAUGAAUGUUUUAACGAGGACUAAACACUUGAAGAAAAGCUGCUUGUUAGAGUGCAAGGAAAGGGCUGCCAAGCAUCAAGUGUGUGUAAAACAGAAGCUCAUGCAUAUGUAUGGAUUUACCCAAGAGUAGUCAGAGACUAUGUUCAAACGAGGAGUGAUUGUGUUAGAAGGGUGUCGGAAAACUUGAAUCAAAGGGUCGGCUCGCAGAAUGGUAAACAGUGUUCGCCGUCUGUGAGGGGAGGUGAACAAACAGGGCUUGUGGGUUUUAAUUAAGUUGUUAUUCUCACACAAAAGUGACCCGCACAAGUAUCCAUCAACUGGUAAACACUGCACAGCGUUGUUAAGAAAUUCUCGCAGGGAUGCCGUCAAAUAAAGAUUUUUAUCCGGCUUCCCUGGGACCUUUUACUGAGAGAUUCUGUCUGUGGUCAACAUGUGGUGAGCUGGCCAAUAAAACAGCAUCUUGGGAAAGAAAAUAAGAUAUACUAUCAAAACUUUUUAAAUUAUAUUACACACAGAAACUCUUGUUUCUUAAUCUGACAAAUGGCACCGCUGUUGCUUCAAUCAACAACAUGUAUUGUAACUUAAAUAUGAAUUUCUGUCACUUUUUAUUAAAGACUAUUACCAGCUGUGAUACAGUAAACAGUAGAAUGGUGAUAUUUUAAGUGUAGCACUGCCUUAUAUGCAUUUGAAAAGCCAGCCCACAGCAUCAUAGUAUACUCUGCACAGCUGACAAACACUGUCAUCAUGUAGUCCUGUAUAACAAGUAGCCUUUUCUCUCUGGUUGGUCUAACUUCUCUGCAAAAUUAUCCAUAUUGUAUGUGUGGUAAUGCACAGUAAUUAUGCACAGUCUGUAAAAGAGUACUCCACAGAUAUAGCAUUGCACUCCUAUAACACUGUCGCAUUCACAAUGGGCAGCUUUUAAAAAAGGAUCAAAAUCGAUGCAGCAGAACCACAAUUAUCGUCUUUUUUAUUCCAGGCAUUUCUACUUCCUUGUCAAAGCUUGACGGGUACAUUACCCACAAUGCAACCUGAAUCGUUGACAGUCUGGUCAGAGAUACUGGUGUGUUAUUCUAGUAUCUGCUAAUGUAGCCCCGAGCCGCUAGCCUCAAGCAGAAAUGAUGAGCCGGCUACAGAGGUCUGGUAAACAAAAUUAUUUUUAAAUUCUCAUCAAUAGAUUUUUAAGAUUUUCAAAAUUGUAGUCCUCAGCCCAAACUGAAGCUGACUCCAGUUUAUCUGACUUCAUGCAGCUCCCACUUGAGCCACAAAAGCCUUUAUAGAAUUUUCCUCACAUAUGCAGUAGUACUACCCAACACCUGUAAACAGACUUUGAUGUGUAAAAUCAGUAGGGUUCACCUUUAAGAAACCCUGAAGCAAAAUUCAAGGUACCCCGUGGAGUUUUAGACCACCAAUAGUGCCAUAGAGUAAUGUUUAUGUGUGGGGCACCACCACCUGGGCGACAUGAUACACAGUCCUGCUGCUUGUUUUCAGAAUUGUCAGACUAGAGUCACAAAUUUAAUGACUUUAGACUCAACUUGACAAAAUCAAAAAGAUUUGCAACUUGACUUGGACUUUAACACCAAUAUCUCAUCACUCGGACUUGAGCAUUUUGACUUGAAAAUACUUGAUCCCUUACCCUAAGCCCAUGGAUUAAAAAGUUUGACUUGAAUGCAAUGACUUGAGACUUAGGCCAUGUUUAUACGAUAACGGUCCACUGUGAACGGAAUUGUUUCUCAUUUUCAUUUUGAAAAAAGUUCCACGUUCAGACAACGUUUCGAUAACAAUCACUGUGCACUUGGAUCUGCAAAAAUGACCAAAAAGCUGUAGUAUACAUGUAUAAACAAACAAAAUGGCAACCACACGAAUGUUUGUCUGGACUGACAGCGAGGUGGAGUUGCCGUAAAUCUACACUUUGCUGGAGAAGCAUUGAUAAAUUCAAUCGGGUUAAGAGCACAAACAGAGCUUGGGACUGCAUAUUGCAAGUUUACAUGACAACGGCGACGGUGCUGUUUCCAAAAAAUUGCACUCUGAACCCUUUUUCCAAACGUUGCAUUUUCAAGUACCCAAAACGCCGCUGUUGUGUAAACGAUCAGCCAAAACGCAGCUAAAGUUUACCAUUUUCGGUUGAAAUCGUCUAUGAGAAGGACCUUAUGUGUGAUUUACAAAACAAAGACUUGGUCCCAAGUGUGCUUGUCUCAUACAAGUCUGCUAAUAGACAGUUGGGGCUGUUGAUGCACAAAGUCACGUUACAAUAUGCCACCAAAGGAAGAGAAGACGAAAAGUGCCAGCAAACAAUGAAGGAUUGAAAAUAUUCAAAAACUGAGCUUUGCAAAUGUUUUAUGAUGGAAGAAACACAUUGAACACAUUUGCUGAACCUCGCCGUGUUUUACAAGUAACACUGAAUUUAAAACAAACUUUUGUGUGAUUAAAGCAAAACUCCACGAGGCACCUUUAAACCUGAAACUUUCUGCUCCAGAACAAAGUGCUGAUCUUUUCACCCUGCGGUUGCUAAGCACUUAUUUAACAGCAGUGUGAAUCACGAUUGUUUUGCUAAAAGUCAAAAUGUGGUCUCUUCUACAGCUUGAAGCUCUAGAUGCUAAAAAUAUCUCAGGUGCUGUUGAGGAUACACAAGUAGCCUCCGAGCCUUUUAUUGACAAUAGUAAGAGAGAACGGAGAGCUCCUGGCGGACAUGCAGGUUUACUCCUCUGUCUUGGGGGUGUAGAAGUUUUCACGAUAUGAUCACAAACAUCCCUAUUCUUUCAAAUGGCUCUAUCUCCUUCCCUCAAGAAUACUCCCGACGCUGGAUGAAUUGAAUCUCACUGUACCUCGGGGCCGGUAAUCAGAGCGAUGACAAGCAAAGCAAGUGGGUUUAGUUUAUUGAGAUGCAGCCGAAGUGUUCUCUUGCAGUGUGUCUGUUCUAGUGUACCUUUCUGUCCUUGCCUUAGUCAGCAGUCAGGCCUUAUCUAUCAGUGUCACAGCAAAGAGGGGUUUAACAAUAAAGUACAGUGUGUACAAUACAGUACCAUCA